rnacentral:rRNA from 1 species
UACCAGCACCCCGAGUGGCCGGGACGAUUAUUGGGCCUAAAGCCUCCGUAGCCGGCCUUACAAGUCCUCCGUUAAAUCCAGCUGCUUAACAGAUGGGCUGCGGAGGAUACUAUAAGACUAGGAGGCAGGAGAGGCAAGCGGUACUCAGUGGGUAGGGGUAAAAUCCGUUGAUCCAUUGAAGACCACCAGUGGCGAAGGCGGCUUGCCAGAAUGCGCUCGACGGUGAGGGAUGAAAGCUGGGGGAGCAAACCGG